UCAGUCGGCCGGACGGCCGCUCCUGCUACGGUCGAAAGGCUGCGGGAGAGGAAAGUCCGGGCUCCAUCGACAUACGGUGCCGGAUAACACCCGGCGGGGGCGACCCCAGGGACAGUGCCACAGAGAACGAACCGCCCUCCACAGCAGCGCAAGCUGGGACGGAGGGUAAGGGUGAAAAGGUGCGGUAAGAGCGCACCGCGGGUCCGGCAACGGAAACGGCAUGGCAAACCACACCGGGAGCAAGACCGAAUAGGGACGGCAACGCGGGUUCGUUCGUGCAAGCGAAAACACCGCAGGGCGAUGUCAGGCUCGCCGUCCGGGUAGGUUGCUCGAGGCAACGUGCAAACGUUGUCCCAGAGGAAUGGCCGUCACGUAUCGUCUCGCGAAAGCGGGGCGGUGCCCUACAAAACCCGGCUUACAGGCCGGCUGAUAUC
rnacentral:RNase_P_RNA from 1 species